GAAAUCUUGUUAAGCUGAUCACAUCUUGCUCUAGCGUGGACUUUAAAAAUGAAGAAUUUCUAGCUCUAGUUUAUGAGUUCCUUGGUAAUGGGAGUUUGAAAGACUGGAUUAAGGGCAAGAGAAAGAAAGAAAAUGGAGGUGGACUAAAUCUCGUGGAGAGAUUAAAUGUGGUUAUUGAUAUAGCCAGUGCAAUAGAUUACCUCCA
rnacentral:misc_RNA from 1 species